rnacentral:rRNA from 1 species
UACGAAGGGGGCUAGCGUUGCUCGGAAUCACUGGCGUAAAGCGCACGUUAGGCGGCUUGUUAAGUCAGGGGUGAAAUCCUGGAGCUCAACUCCAGAACUGCCUUUGAUACUGGCGAGCUUGAGUCCGGGAGAGGUGAGUGGAACUCCGAGUGUAGAGGUGAAAUUCGAUAGAUAUUCGGAAGAACACCAGUGGCGAAGGCGGCUCACUGGCCCGGUACUGACGCUGAGGUGCGAAAGCGUGGGGAGCAAACAGGG